rnacentral:miRNA from 1 species
GUAUGAUCAUAGAUGAUGGAG